rnacentral:rRNA from 1 species
CACGUAGGGGGCGAGCGUUGUCCGGAAUCAUUGGGCGUAAAGAGCUCGUAGGCGGCUCAGUAAGUCGGGUGUGAAACCCCCAGGCUCAACCUGGAGACGCCACCCGAUACUGCUGUGGCUAGAGUCCGGUAGGGGAGCAUGGAAUUCCUGGUGUAGCGGUGAAAUGCGCAGAUAUCAGGAGGAACACCGGUGGCGAAGGCGGGUCGCUGGGCCGAUACUGACGCUGAGGCGCGAAAGCUAGGGGAGCGAACGGG